AACUCGUUUUNGGGGCUUCGGCUUCAGAGANUAAGCGAAAGUGAUAAGUUAGCCACCUGGGGAGUACGUUCGCAAGAAUGAAACUCAAAGGAAUUGACGGGGGCCCGCACAAGCGGUGGAUUAUGUGGUUUAAUUCGAUGAUACGCGAGGAACCUUACCAAGGCUUAAAUGGGAAUUGACAGGUUUAGAAAUAGACUUUUCUUCGGACAAUUUUCAAGGUGCUGCAUGGUUGUCGUCAGCUCGUGCCGUGAGGUGUUAGGUUAAGUCCUGCAACGAGCGCAACCCCUGUCACUAGUUGCCAUCAUUAAGUUGGGGACUCUAGUGAGACUGCCUACGCAAGUAGAGAGGAAGGUGGGGAUGACGUCAAAUCAUCACGGCCCUUACGCCUUGGGCCACACACGUAAUACAAUGGCCAGUACAGAGGGCAGCUACCAGGUGACUGGAUGCGAAUCUCGAAAGCUGGUCUCAGUUCGGAUUGGAGUCUGCAACUCGACUCUAUGAAGCUGGAAUCGCUAGUAAUCGCGCAUCAGCCAUGGCGCGGUGAAUACGUUCCCGGGCCUUGUACACACCGCCCGUCAAGCCAUGGAAGUCUGGGGUACCUGAAGUCGGUGACCGUAAUAGGAGCUGCCUAGGGUAAAACAGGUAACUAGGGCUAAGUCGUAACAAGGUAACCGU
rnacentral:rRNA from 1 species